rnacentral:tRNA from 1 species
GGCAGGGUAGCAAAGUGGUCUAAUGCAGCGGCCUUAAGCAGCCGAGUGUUUUACGCUCGUGAGAUCCGCCAUUCGCGGGUUCGAACCCCGCCCUUGCCA